AGCAAAGAGCGUAGAGUAGCAAUAUUUGGCUCGGUUUGUACACCUGUUGCCAUUUCACUACUGCAUGAAGAAAGGUUGCCACUGUGCUUGGACGAGUGAGGUAUGUGGCGCUUGAAACACUAACAACAUGUUUUUUUUUUUAGUUUGAUGUUACUGCAUGUACAUUGUCAUCAAAUCAUUUGUCAUCUUAAUGGUGUUGCUAAAUGCUAAAAUGAUUAGAUUGCAAAUUGUCUUUACUUUCAAUAACAUCAAGAAAUCGAAAGCAUUUUUUGUUACGCAGGCCCUUUUUGAGAUAAAUUGAAUCAAAAUUGUACUUUUU